AAGUCGUAACAAGGUUUCCGUAGGUGAACCUGCGGAAGGAUCAUUAUCGAGCUUCCUCGUCUCGCUCCUUCACACACACCCUAGUGCACUGGCUCGCGCGCGACGCACGCGCCCGCAAGCGUCGUCGUCGCGUCUUCUCUCUCGACUCUCGCAUGUCUACGGAAUGUCGCUAGCUACGCGCGAGGUUUUCGAACCCGAGCAGAGCAACAACUUUCAGCAACGGAUCUCUUGGCUCUCGCAUCGAUGAAGGACGCAGCGAAUCGCGAUAAGUAAUGUGAAUUACAGAUUUUCCGUGAAUCAUCGAAUCUUUGAACGCACCUUGCGCUCCUCGGUAUUCCGAAGAGCACGCCUGUCUGAGCGUCGUCGAAAUCUAAUCUCGAGCCAGGCUUUCGAGCUUGGCUUGGACUUUGGGAGUCUGCGGGCGACCUGCGGGUCGUCGGCUCUCCUCAAAAGCAUCAGCGCGAGUGUUGCGAGCGUCGCGAGCCUUAGUCUAGCAAGGCGCCGACCGAGCCUCUCCGACGUCGUAAAGGAUCGUCGCGGUCUCGGAAGGCAUGCGCGCGAGCGAAUCCGUGGUUUUUAUCUAUCUUGCUCUCGACCUCAGAUCAGGCGGGACUACCCGCCGAACUUAAGCAUAUCAAUAAGCGGAGGA
rnacentral:misc_RNA from 1 species